GCUUCCCUCUUUCUUCGUGCCUAAUACAUGCAAGUCGAGCGAACGGACGAGAAGCUUGCUUCUCUGAUGUUAGCGGCGGACGGGUGAGUAACACGUGGAUAACCUACCUAUAAGACUGGGAUAACUUCGGGAAACCGGAGCUAAUACCGGAUGAUAUUUUGAACCGCAUGGUUCAAAAGUGAAAGACGGUCUUGCUGUCACUUAUAGAUGGAUCCGCGCUGCAUUAGCUAGUUGGUAAGGUAACGGCUUACCAAGGCAACGAUGCAUAGCCGACCUGAGAGGGUGAUCGGCCACACUGGAACUGAGACACGGUCCAGACUCCUACGGGAGGCAGCAGUAGGGAAUCUUCCGCAAUGGGCGAAAGCCUGACGGAGCAACGCCGCGUGAGUGAUGAAGGUCUUCGGAUCGUAAAACUCUGUUAUUAGGGAAGAACAUAUGUGUAAGUAACUGUGCACAUCUUGACGGUACCUAAUCAGAAAGCCACGGCUAACUACGUG
rnacentral:rRNA from 1 species